GGAAUAGUACCGCGAGCCCCGCUACCGCUCGCUCCUUUGACUUGUUCUCCACGAAGAGCGUCACCCGGAACACGGGGCCCAGACCUUCAACCUACAAAACCCCUCAUUUUAGUAAAAAAAAACCUUAGUCGAAAUAUUAAAAUUAUUGUUUUGUCAUCGGUUCUGCGUCUAUUUAGUUAACUAAGAUUGGUCUUAAGCCUUUAUUUGUUACAGACAAAUUAUAUCAAUUUGUGGUUUCAGAAAAUUUACAAAGUCCUUCAUUAAAAAUAAAAUAUGUUACUGCCAUCUAUAGGAGCAAUGAGAAACUAAUCGAAGCGAGGCCAUCUAGUGGCCGACGCCCGUAAACAUUUUUGUUGAUAGUCUCACCUCAGCCGUCAGUCCUAUGGGCUCCAUGGCCCCGACUCCCAUGAAAUUCUCGGAUUUGGCGUGAGCAUCCAGGAGCGUUCUUGUGGCCAGCAACCUCAAUCUGUUCAAUUCUAAUUGAAAAGCCUCGUGCAUAGCUGAAAGAAAAUUUGGAUACUAGUACCAGAUAAGUAAUACAGAUAACCUUACCAUAACACGGUGUUUUAAAACACAGUUCCACUCUUAAAACGAAAAGAAAAAUUCCCCAAAACUAGCUUAUAACACGGUAUUUCUCUACAACACGAUAACGAUUGAUUUAUGUUUAAAAUUAUUUACGAAAAUUACGUUAUGAACUAUGAAAACACAAUAUAUGGCAAUAACCGAGAAUUUACUGGUUAUUUUUUAUGUUAGGUAAAAAAAAACCUACAGACAUAGUUGAGAUGUUCAUUCAGUUCAUUUAGUACUAGGAGUUUUUUAACUUCUUGAUUGCGUAAAACUUAAAUCAAAUUUGUAUGGAGUUGGAACAGCGCCCCUAGCGGCAAACGAAGGGCACUAAGCACACAGAAAUAUUACUCUCCCUUUUGUAUGACUUUAAAUGUUUUUACUAUGCUUUUACAAGUUAAUCUAGUAAUAGUACUAGAUUUUUUGUUUGUUAUGUAUUAUAAUCGAAAUAAAUAAAACACUGCUUUUUCAGAGCAACAUAUUGAAGUCUUAAUUUAUAUAAGUGUUGGAGUAAAGGAGGCGAGCAAAUGGUGUACGAAAAUCAAUAAAUAAUUAAUUUCUUUCCAA